GCCUGUUUUAACUUUAAAUACCAAGUAAAAGUGAAAAAAAAAAUCAAUAACCACAACAUAGAUACAGUCCAUAACAAACAUGGCGCCGUCGAUGAAGUGAAAAUGAAUAAUCUUUAAUUGUUUAACUGCGAAAGAUAUAGAUUCAGAGAGAUCGUCUGCAAUGUUUGCCGAUGUGCAGGUUCAUAGAAUAAAGAAGGAGGAGAAAGAACAGCGCCUUGUUGAACCCCUUGUCAUAAACAUAAUCAAUUCCGGUCUUUCGGCAGUCCAGCAUGUGUGUUGUCUUGAUUCGGAAACGGUCUGGACCAGCGGCAACGGAUCAAGGCUGAGGCUGCUGAACAAUAGGGGAAAAGAAAGGCGAUCGAUUAAAAGCCCGGAUCAACAUGGGAUAGGUGGAAUGUCCAUUUCCAAAAAGGGAGAACUCAUGUUUUGCUCACCAUCAGAUAAAGCUUUAUAUAAAGUAAUUGGUAAGGACAUCGAACAGUUUUGCAGUACCGGCGAUUUUGUAUCCCGUGGGAUGCACUGGUGUAGAAAUGGGGAUAUCUUAGUUUCUGUUUGUAAAGGACAAAAAGCCAAAGUAGACAGAUACGGGGGCGACGGGUAUAAAAAGCAAGAAAUAGAAAUCAAACAGAAUGGUCGGCGUCUGUUUAGAAAACCAUCUUAUCUUACGCAAAACAUUUCUGGAGACAUAUGUGUUUCAGAUCAAAAUAAAGUAGUUGUCACAACAAAUGAUGGGCGAUUUCGAUUCAACUAUUACGGCGGAAGAUUCAAAGCUUUCGGACCCCAAGGAAUAUGUUGUAACAAAUUGGCACAUAUUAUUGUGGCAGACGACAUCAACAAUAUAAUUCACGUUGUAAACGAUAGCGGUGCAUUGCAGCGCGUGUUAGACACUUCCGGACAAGGAGUUCUGGGACAAUUAUCUUCUCCAUCGAGCCUUUCCAUAGAUGAUAAUGGUUAUAUUUGGGUUGGAGAAGUGUUUAGUGGUUUUAUCAAAGUCUUGAAGUAUUUAGAACUUUGUUAUGUCUGAAAUGUAUUCCUCUUGUGACGCAAUAAAUCGAUCGUUCUUAA